UACGUAGGGAGCAAGCGUUGUCCGGAAUCAUUGGGCGUAAAGCGCGCGUAGGCGGCCCUGUAAGUCCGUUGUGAAAGUCAAAGGCUCAACCUUUGAAAGCCGAUGGAUACUGCAGGGCUAGAGUCCGGAAGAGGCGAGUGGAAUUCCUGGUGUAGCGGUGGAAUGCGCAGAUAUCAGGAGGAACACCAAUAGCGAAGGCAGCUCGCUGGGCCGGUACUGACGCUAAGGCGCGAAAGCGUGGGGAGCGAACAGG
rnacentral:rRNA from 1 species